rnacentral:rRNA from 1 species
AUUGAACGCUGGCGGCAUGCCUUACACAUGCAAGUCGAACGGUAACAGGUCUUCGGAUGCUGACGAGUGGCGAACGGGUGAGUAAUACAUCGGAACGUGCCUAGUAGUGGGGGAUAACUACUCGAAAGAGUGGCUAAUACCGCAUGAGAUCUACGGAUGAAAGCAGGGGAUCGCACGACCUUGUGCUACUAGAGCGGCCGAUGGCAGCUUAGGUAGUUGGUGGGAUAAAAGCUUACCAAGCCGUCGAUCUGUAGCUGGUCUUAGAGGACGAUCAUCCACGAGGAGACGGAGACACGGCCCAGACGCCUACAGGAGGCAGCAGUGGGGAAUUUUGGACAAUGGGCGAAAGCCUGAUCCAGCAAUGCCGCGUGCAAGAUGAAGGCCUUCGGGUUGUAAACUGCUUUUGUACGGAACGAAAAGCCCCGGGUUAAUACCCUGGGGUCAUGACGGUACCGUAAGAAUAAGCACCGGCUAACUACGUGCCAGCAGCCGCCGUAA